rnacentral:lncRNA from 1 species
GUGUAGGAAGAAAUUUUUCAUGGGCUUGUACGGCUGUACCUGUCCAUUAAACUGAUCCUUUUAUUAUUGGGCCAUAGGUUCUAAAAUCCAAGAUUUGAGUUUCGUUCUUAAAAACCUGAAUGUUUUAGAGAAAACUUAUUGAAAAUAGAUUUAAGUUUUUACUAUAUUUGGUUUUAAGUUUUAGAUAAAAAUUGCUUUUAUAAAACUUAUUGAAAAUAGAUUUAAGUUUUUUUUUAUUAAGGUUAGAAUAUUUUAGAGAAAAGAAUACAACAGGUUUAAUAAAAAGUAUAAUGGUAAGCAGGGCUAGCUCAAGCUUUUUGAUGGCUCAAAACGAUCACUAAAAUUAGGGCCUUUUCCAAAUUAUAUUCUUAUCAACAACAAUAAGAAUUAUAAAAUUAGUAAACCAUAAAAUAUGUGAAGUAAGACCUUAUUUGAAAUUAAAAAAAAAAAUCAAGUAGGUAUGUAAUAUUAUUCCAUAUAUAAAUAACUAACUUUUUCAUGCAUAAAGAGUUGUAAUUUGUGCUUUGGGGAUUUCUUAAAAAAAUAAUUUGAUUUUUUAGUUUUAACCUAAAGGUUUUUACCCUUUUCAAUUUUAACCCUACAAAAUUUGUUUUUUUAACUUUAACUCAAAACUUUUCAUUAUUUGCAAUUUAACUUCACAACUUUUGUCAAUUAUACUUUUCGUCUUUGGUUUAAUUUUUUUACAUUUCGUUACGUAUAGUUCUAAAUUUUUCGAGUUAAUACGACGCAACGUAUGUGUAGUUCAACUUUUUUAUGUUUUAUUUCAAAUUUUGAAAGUUAACACUGCGCAACGUGCAUGUGUUCGUCGCAACAGGCAGAUCCUAGGUCGAGUCAGUGUUGGUGGUCGAUCACGGUUGUGUGACAUUAGUACUAUUUGACACCGUUUUACGCCCCGCCGCAACGCGGAGUGUGCUUUGGGGGUUUCCAAAGAAAAAUGGUUAUGGAUAUGGUUAUCGUAACCUUGGCUUUAGGGUUUUCCAAAAAAAAAAUGAUUUUUUUUUACUUUUCACCCAAAAGUAUUUCAUAAAUUACCUUUAACCCAAAAAUAUUUGUUUUUUUACUUUUAACCCAAAACUUUUUAUCUUUUGCAAUCUAUCCUCACAAAUUUUUUACUUUC